UACGUAGGCAGCAAGCGGUGUUCGGAAUUACUGGGCGUAAAGGGUGCGUAGGCGGUGCUCUAAGUUUGGUGUGAAAUCUCCCGGCUUAACUGGGAGGGUGCGCCGAAAACUGGAGCGCUUGAGUGCGGGAGAGGAAAGCGGAAUUCCUGGUGUAGCGGUGAAAUGCGUAGAGAUCAGGAGGAACACCUGCGGUGUAGACGGCUUUCUGGACCGUAACUGACGCUGAGGCACGAAAGCGUGGGUAGCAAACAGG
rnacentral:rRNA from 1 species